UUCAAGCUGUGUUGAAGGUCAGCAGCUGCAGCGGCUCAUGAUUUAAUCCUUGUAGAGUUCUAGAGGCUGGGAAGUCCAAAAUCAAGACGGCAGCAGAUCUGGUGUCUGCAGUUAGUUGUGAUUUCGGUGCUCUCGCAAGAGGGAGUGAGUACACAUCCUUCUACUCUGCCAUCUUUAACCAGUCUCCUAACGGAACGCUCUUAAACUUACUCAAGA